rnacentral:pre_miRNA from 11 species
AGCCGUGGGGGGUAACCUAUUAUCCCGUGCAGUCGGUAUAAUUGGACCGCACGGGAUAAUAGAUAAUCCCGUGCGGUC